GGUGGGCAAGAAUCGCUAUUUUGGUAAUCUUCGAUUCCGAUUCCAGAGGCUGUUGGAAUCGCUGGAAUCGAUUCCACCACUCUGCCAGCAGAGCUUGCCUCCCGGGCGGCGUGGGGCGCGGGACAGUGGCAGUGCGUCAUGUCAUACAGCAUUUCUCCCCUACUCUCUGCGUCCUCGAUAUCGGAAUCGUUUCAUGGCCUUCACGAUUCCGGAAUCGAUUCCACCACUCUGCCAUGGUGAACCAAGACACGAGUUUCCCCCUGAGAGCAUUAGCUAGACUGAUGCCGCAGGCAUCUGACAUCAAUCACCUGACGUCACAGGGUAUCGACCAAUCAAAUAUUGUUUUUCUCCCUUAAGGUGUCACUGCCCAGAUUCCAUUGGUUGCAUUGCCUUUUGUGUACAUCAAAUCUAGUGGAAUCGUCAGGCUAUGGAAUCGAUUCCAUCAGUUCUGUGGCGGAAUCGUUGGAAUCGAUUCCGGAAUCGUAUUUUGCCCAGGCUUAGAAUCGACUCCGGACUCCGUAGUCGUUAAGCGCCCAUCCCUAGUGUCAGCUGUGUGUGUGCGUGUGAUGCCUUGGUGUGUCGCCAUGGCGUGUCAGGGAAUGGCGGAAGGCAGCAUGCACUAACUUAAACACACUCUCCUGUCACCUGGCGAGGAGACGAGGUAACCAGUGACCAGCAGACGUAGAAAGAGGAGGCAGUGCCACAGACAGGGUACAGACCAGUGGGAGGUCACUGUGGCGACAAUGGCUGACGUGUUUUCCGUGAAGGACGCAACAAUCCUCCUCGCCAACAAAUUUGUUCAGCUUACUGGUAAUUGGAAAUUUAAAGUUUGGUCCCAAGGUGAUCAACCCCAAGCCACUGAUGAAACAGAUACCCAUCACUUGAGACAGAGUUUCACAAGCUCAGCAAUGAGAAGGCAGUGAAGAAUUGCUUCAAUGGCUCACAGCAGGACCUGAAGGCCAAGAUGGAGGUCCAGGCUAAUGAUGAAGACAACGACAAUAGAGGGCAUCUGUUUUGUGUGUAGGGUUGUGUUAUUGUGCAUCUUGGAGAGGUAGUGAGAAGAGGAGUAGGGCUAAGGUAAAGGAGUAUUUGUGUGAAGGAGGUAGUAGUUGUUGAGGCAAAUUGCUUGGAUAAGUUUGAAGGGAAUGUUGAUGGUCAUAUCUUCUGGUAUACUUGAUAGUAAUUGCCGUGUUCCGAUGAAUAUAGAUUGAGUUUUGUUAGCGUUUAACAUAAGGCCACUACUUAUAAAGUAAUUUUUGGCAGUCGACAGCGUUACUUUGGCUCUGGAGGUUAGUUGGUCUAAGUAAUUAAUAUUUUCACUGUGUAUAAACUGAGUGUCGUCUGCAUACUGAAGUACUAUGCAAUCGUUUACGAUUUCAAACAAGUCAUUGACAAAUAUAGAGAAAAGAAUGGGACCAAGUAUGGAACCUUGUGGAACUCCUUGUGUUACUAGGGAUUUGGUAGAUAUGUGGUUGUGUACUUUGACUGAUUGGGUUCUGUGAUAUAGGUAAUCUUGUAUCCAGAAAGGCUCGAUACGUAAUUUAUGACAUCUCUGCAGUAAAAUUUUGUGAUUAACGGUGUCGAAAGCCUUUGAUAAGUCGCAUAAAGUUAUCAUAGUUAUUUUCUUAUUAUCUAGGUUGCUAUAUACAUGGUUAGAUAUUACUGUGAAAGCAGUUUCGGUCGAUAAUUUUGGCCUGAAAGCAUGUUGAGUGUUAGAAAGUAACAAAUUCUCUUCUAGGUGGCCUGAGAGCUGCUUUGCUACAAUUUUCUCUAGAAUCUUUGAUAUUACUGGAAGGAGAGAUAUGGGUCUGUAAUUAGAGCUGAUGUUACUGUCUCCUCCUUUAAAGACCGGGACAACAGUUGCGUGUUUCCAGAGGGAGGGAAAUUUUCCUGAAGCGAUUAAGGUGUUGAAAGUACAAGUGAGGUAUAAAGGUGUAACAAAAAGGCUGUCUUUUAUGAAGCAUAAUGAGAUACCAUCGCUACCCACAGCUUUAGUUUCCUUUAGUGUUGAUACUGUCAGAAUUACGGUCUGGACAUCAACUGGUUGAGGUCUGAAGAAAAUUGUUACCAAGUUAUCAUCAGCAACUUGUAUUACGUUACCUAUGUUAUUGUUGCUGUUAGUUUGGGUCAGUUUUGCACUUUUCAAGUUUUUUUUCCUACAUUAGCAAAGAAGUUGUUGAACUCUUCCGCUUUGUCAUUAAUGUCUUUGUCUUCAAUAACGUUGUUGUGUGAUUUAUUCUUGGGCACGAUAUUUCUGAUGUUGUUCCACAUCUGUGCUGAGUUACCUUUACUUUCAUAAAACUUAUUGUGAUAAUAUGUCUGUUUCGCCUCUUGAAGUUUGUCUUUUACGUGUUUCUUUGCUUCUUUAUAUUUAUUAUAAAACUAUAUUUUGUCGAUCUCAUUUUAGCUUUGCUUGUAGAGUAUCUCUAUAAUUCAUCUUAUCUUUCAUUUCUUUGUUAAUCCAAGGAGUUGGUGGUCUAUUCAGUUGUUGUUGGGGCGACUUGGUCAAGAAAGGAAUUAAAAACUGUGAUGAGUAUGUUCACCUGCUCAUCAACGUCAUCGGUUAGUGUGAUGUUAUUCAAGAUGUGCAAGCUUUGUAGCAGCGCAUCACAGAAGUUAUCUCUGUUGUAUGUAGCCAUGCUUCUGAAUGUUUUCUUUAUUUUGGGUCGUUUAGGUUUGCUGAUGUCAACUUUUGAGAUAAUCAUGUUGUGAUCUGCAAUAGUACUGGGAAGGCAAUCAUGGUGAACAAUACUGUCUUUUUUAUUUGUGAUUAAAACAUCAAGUAGUGUUGCACAUUGAGUAGUGGUGCGGGUUGGUUUAUUUAUUAAUUGGAAUAGUCCACAUGCAUCAGUUAUUUUUCUUAGUUUGCUGUUAUUAACUAGGAGGUUAUCGUUAAGAUCACCAUGGGUUUCUUACGCAGAUUAACGUGCUUAAAAACUUCUGAAAGGUAAUCAUAUGAUGCGGCAGGAGCUUUAGGAUGUCUGUAUACGCACCCUACUAUGAUUGAUGGUAGUUUUGUGCAUUGAAUUGUAAUAUAUAUGUUAUCGAUCCCAAGACAGGGUUCAACGUUCGGUGAUAUUACUUUAGAACUUAAGUUCUAAAGUAAUAAAGUGGAGUGUGUAUAGACACACUUCACCUCCACGACCUUUAUUAUGUCUAAAUAAAUUAUAACCUGGUACUGUAAUUAGUUUAUCAGGUGUUUGUUGAGGAAGCGAGAACAUCAAUGUCCCAAUCAUGAAACAGUAGUUUUAUUUCAUUGAAACUCGAUAGGAGAGACUGUGCAUUGAUGUGCUCUAUGGAAUGACUAGCCUUAAUUUUAUCAUAACGUUUAGCAGCAGUGUCUUCGCCAAGGACCUAUUCUCCAUAAUAGUUACAUAGCUUAUUUUUAUGACCUAAUUGAUAACAUUUUGUACACUCUAUUUUAUGGUCAAACCUACAAUUGGUUUGUGUGAGAUUUGUCUCAUCACAGUUGUAGCACGCUCCUCAUCUGUAUGGAUUUGAUUGUGGUGGGGACGGUGGGGAGCCAUGGGUGUGGUGGCGGGACUGGCCGGUAGCAUGUCCAUGGGAAGGGUGUAGAUGAAAGUUGUCUGGACGGGAGUUGGAGGGAAGGUGCUGAGGAUUAGUGCACCUCCCCUCCCCAGGUGUGGGACCAGGUGCAGUCAGGUCACCAUCUCGCCUUUCGUGCUGUCCAGGUGGGGGAAGGUGGCGGGGAGGAUUAUAGUAGUGGGCAGGUCUGUUGGUAUGACCUGAGCCGCCUCGAUGUCGCCCAACUGUCCUCCAGCCGUCAAUGUCACCAUUUUCCAGCUUGAAUACUGGGUCAGACUUUAUAAUGAAGAUUCCAUUUUCAUUACCCCAUUUAAAGAUGUGUUCAUAAAAGUCGUUAAUCUUAGUCUGCAGUGUAUCGCUCUGCAAACUUGGCACCAGUUAUGCAAGUGUCUGGAAUCCAAGAUAGUUUUUUCUCUCGCCCAACAGCUAAUUAGUUCAUAGUUUGCCUCAGUUAACCCAUUCGCCCCGGAAGUUAGAAAACACGCAUCGCGAUCCAUCCGGGAGGCCCGCGCGCUCCAAGAUUUGAAGCUUUAUUGUUGAGUAAUCAAUGUUUUAGCCAUAAACUCAAUAUAUUCAUCACUUACUAUAUAUCAGGAUGUGUAAAAAUGUUUGUAUGUUACAAUACACUUUCCAUUGCUAUGCUAAAAAGGAAAACAAUACAAAAUUUUACUUUUUAUAUUUUAUUACUUUUUUUUUUUUAUUACAGUUCGGGAGAUUUCUCCCUGAAUCUCUGGUGGUGGUGCUGUGAUGGCGGAGGUGGAGGGGAGUGCGGUGAUGUCGGAGGUGGAAGGGUGUGGCCUGGUGGUGGUGAAGACUCACCUGGCUUGGCUUCACCUCAGGAUGGUCAGCCACUUCAGCCUCCAGCCCUCUGGAGAGUAAAGGAGCAGCACAGGCAAUCCACAUGGUCAUUACUCAAGUUGUGACCACAAUGCCAACACGGACGAGAUAUUGCAGUCAGAGGAGCGGUGUGGACAGCUGGCACCCCGUGUGGACCAGUUGCUGAUCAUCGCCACCCUUCAGUAUUGCUUGGUCCUCAACACAAAAGUGACCAACCUUAGCAUCAACAAGGAGGAAUGCAUCAAGAUAUAUCAAUCACUCACCAGGUGUUUGAGGACGGUCUUCAGCAGCUGGGCACCGAGGCAACAAGGGACAUGACAAGGGAUGUAGUGCAUGUACUCAUUCAUAUAAUCUUAAACCAUCGGCUCUCCCUGCUGAAGGACGUCACUCGGAUCAUUCGUGUCAUUGAUGUGCCAGUGGUGUGCAUUGUGGAAAAAGUGCAGUCCCUACAUAUUCAGGAAGUGGUGGUGGUGGUCCCUGAGUUUUGGACUAGUGGAAGGCAGAGCAGCACACUCUGACCACCCUACCAGUCUGCCGUGCAGCUCAACAAAGCCAUCCGCUUCCAGGAGGCCCGUGGCGAGGAGUGGGUCAGCCAUUCCAUCCGAACCAUCCACACAGCAGGAAAGGCAAACACAUAGACACGACCAGUGAGUGUGUGCUCCACCGGCUGCCACAAGCCUCCUUAGCACCUGCUGUGCCUCCACCCCAGCAGGGAUGGGGUCAGCAGGAGUGACCUGUCCCCACUGCAGCCCCUCACAGCAACCCUCUUCACUGGCAGCCGGCUCCUGGAUCACAGGUCAACGCACGUCUUGCUCUGUCAGUGUGGCUGGCCUGGAGAAGAGGUCGUUUACAGUGGAUGAGAGGACAAGGCAGUUUCUUGUGGAGUUGUGAGGUGAUGGUGGUGGUGAUAGAAUACCUGAUGGAGACACAGGGCCUGCAUGCAACACCCCCUCAGGCCAACACCUUCUGCAAUGACUGUGAUGUUUGUUAGCAAGCUGGUGGAGUCACAGGGCCAAGAGCAUAGGCCUCGUUGAGCAACGAAUGCAGUACGGCACUACGCGUUACGGGGAGUCAACUGUAGCACUGAGACCCCUUGGUCCUGGCCCUGGAGCUGCCUACCCAAUGUUCUCGUUAAGGCGUGGACACACUUGCCUAGAACAUUGCCCGAAACACUGCUCGACGCAUGAAGGAAACAUGUAACACGCAUGCUAGCAACAUGUCACUGACAGCACUGGGACAGUGUUUCGGCCACUGUUUCGGGCAAAGUCAUGGACAUGCUGGAAACAGAGGUGAAAUAGCUCGUAGCCUCGUCCACACCACUGCUACCACCAUGUCACAGGCAGAGCUGCCGACAUGAUGUGGACACUAGUGCCUCGAACACGUCUGUGACAAAGUUCGAGACAUGCUUCCUUCAUGCGUCGAGCAGUGUUUCGGGCAAUGUUCUAGGGCAAGUGUGUCCGCGCCUUUAUAUGUUGCCAUAUUAAUUGUUACUAAAGGUUCACGCAAAUCACAUCAUAUAUUCCAUCUUGUAUACAACCAACUGGUAUGCAUAUGCUCAGUUUGUACACACAUCUAAAAUUUUUCACAUGAACGUGUAAAUAAGCAAAAUAAGACAAGUGAUAUGGCAACUCAGAAAUGCCAGCUGACUGCAGCUCUGAUGGACGGGUACAGGACGUGUCCGAGUACUCGCGGCGCACCUAUGUGAUCCCCGCAGCGCAAAAGUGCGCCGCGGCACAGGUUGAGAAACACUGCUGUAGGCACUAUAGACCAAGACAUUAAAAGAAAGAAAAAUUGUUCUAAGGCAGAAAAGAUGGUGUUGGAGCUGGUGAGGAAUCAACAGCAUGUGUGGGACCCAAGACAUCCUCUAUAUAACAAGAAUGCCUUCAAAAAAGGAUGUUUUGUUGUUCAAACCAGAUUAAGUACAAUCAUCAAUUGCCAUUGAGUGUGUAUGACACAUGAAUUGUCUUGUAAUCUAUUAUUUAUCAAUAUCUAAAAUCUAGUUUUGCAAGGUAUGGACCUAUUAUUCUUUCAGUUUCACUUUUUAAAGCAAAUGCUGCAAAUUUCAUGUUCCUUUUGCUACUGUAGGGAAAGGAAUGACUCGUGCUGUUCCAGGCAAAUUUUCAGUUUUAAAUGUUCAUUAAUAACUAGCAUCACCUCCAAGGUGGUGAUGCUCAUGUUUGUUCUGCUGUCCAAGUCAGGUGGAAAGUGUCUAAUGAAUGGGUAAUAGUGAAUAUUUCUUGUCUUUUUCUACAAUAUCUCAAGAAAAGUUAAACUUGCAGCAUUUAUGUAAAAAAAGUGAAAGUGCAGGAUUGUGCAGAACUGUGCGAGUUGCAGGUAUUUGAAGGUUUGAAGUAUUGGGUUAAUAUUAGAUAAUAGUAAUACUGAUGAUGUGUUAUGUGCUCAUAAUGACAAUUGAUGAUUCUGCUUACGUUGCUUGCAAUAUCAGCCCCAUAGACCCUUCAAUACUGAAGUUUGAGCAAAGAUAACUAAAAGGUGUGGAGCAUGGACACUAGACAGACUCAUUUGACACUGCUAGCCAGCCACUACUUCUCACUUCCUAGCCACUGUAGUGUGAAUACAUUCCGACUGGGAGUGGUCACUAAGAUUCCAGCGGCUGACAAUUCCAGCCAUACAUUGCCACGUGUGAAUCUGCCUCAAAAGGUAGAUGGUUUGAGAAUGUUGCAGUUUGAUGUGGGGAUAUUGAAAGUAAGUUUGUUUGUGUAGUAAGUAGAAACUAGUGAAAUUUAAUGCCAAUUAUGUUUGUAUACUCGUAAAAUUUAUGGAAUGCUAAGAAAUGGGUUAUGAAAGGAAAUUGUAAUGAUGAAAUGCUAAUUCUUUGAGAAGCUAAGAUAAGACAAAUAAUUUCUGCAUCCUUGUAUUUCUAAUAAUGGAUAGGUACUUAGAGGAGUACAGAGACAAGGUUAAUACUCAAGUAAAAUACUUUACAAGAAUAGCGAUAUACAUCAUCAAAGUUUUUGAUGUUGAAAUUUGCAAAGACAGGAUAGAUUAUUAAUUACAGAAAAAAUAUUGGAAUAGAAACAAGUGGAAGUGUGUGUCUCAAUAUAAUGUAGCAGUAGAGAUAAAAAAGAAAUCAAAGCUUUUAACAUUGAAAUGUAAGAGGAUAUCAUAGAUACUAAAAAAAGGAGAAAUAUGACUAAAUAUUAACUUGGUAAAGCAGUAGAGAUGAAAACGAUGAAAUCAACAAAUCUUGAAUACUGAAGUUUAGGAGGAAAGGAGAGAUAAUGUGAGUGGGUAUUGCUAUUCACCUCAACCUGAAUCAUUAUAUCCUGUUCACAGUGAGAAGAUUUGUCUAUCUAUAGGUCAGCCUGGCAAUUCCACACUGCUUGGACAGAUAGAUGGAUGAUUUCUGCACAUGAACAGGAUAACCAACUGGAUAAAAGGGCUGAACAGUGAUGGAUGUCAUAAGUAAAUGACACUGUUAUUGUCACAGGAAGUAGUGAGACAGAAAGAGUUUAAUAUAAUACACAAAGUUUAUUCAUGUGAGAAAUUGUUAUUGUGGUGACUUACAUAAUUACAUUUGUGAGUAUGACAAUCUAUAUAUUUGUACAGUACAUACAUCCAUUGUUAAUUACGAUGUAUGUGUGUAUGUUUGUUUAUCAAGUUGUGUACAUACAUUUCCUGUAUAGAAGAAUGUUGAUUUUGUUAGAGAAAGGUAUAGUGUCUUGCUUGUAGAGAAAUGUCUGUAAAUGCCUGUAAAUAUUUGUUUACCUGCAUGUAUAUCAAAUGUUUGUAAUGAAGGUUUACUUUGA